GUGCACCAAUAAAAAUCCUCCAUGAGAGGCUUGAGUAAACCUCUCUGACUCAGUCCUGUGACCUAAAACUCACCCGGGCAUCGGUGUAAAUUAGCAGGCAGCCACUGUCCACACCCAGGCAGAGGAUAUAAAGUACACUGCACCCCUGGAGGACAGAACGUUGGUGCAGCAUAUGGCUGGAAACCGUGCAUGAACCCUGAUGCAUAAAAUUGGAGCUCACAAAUGUGCAGUGCAGGGUGACCCCUCAGCCAGAUGUGGACCAGAACCACUCACAGAGUGAUCGACCAGAAUCAAAUAGGUUGCACAUCUUUCGGAAUCAUGCAUCAGUUCAUCAAAGCCCAGAAAAUGGGACACUGAGACUGAAAGGAGUGGCUCUUAGUCCCACAGUUCUGGUGGAGGCUGAAGUGGCUAGAAUGGAGAACUGAGCAUCUGAACAUCAA